rnacentral:lncRNA from 1 species
CCCGCAAGCGCUCGAGGAGUCGCAGCCGGUCCCGGGGACGGGGGUCGGAAAAGAGAAAGAAGAAGAGCAGGAAAGACACCUCGAGGAACUGCUCGGCCUCCACAUCCCAAGGUCGCAAGGCCAGCACGGCCCCUGGGGCGGAGGGAGAAGCAAGCAGAAGGCCCGGAGGAGAACAAGAUCCAGCUCCUCCUCCUCUUCUUCCAGUUCUUCUAGCUCCUCUUCUUCCUCCUCGUCCUCCUCCUCUUCCUCCAGUGAUGGCCGGAAGAAGCG